rnacentral:rRNA from 1 species
GUGGGGAAUUUUGGACAAUGGGCGCAAGCCUGAUCCAGCAAUGCCGCGUGCAGGAAGAAGGCCUUCGGGUUGUAAACUGCUUUUGUACGGAACGAAACGGUCCGGGUUAAUACCCUGGGCUAAUGACGGUACCGUAAGAAUAAGCACCGGCUAACUACAUGCCAGCAGCCGCGGUAAUACGUAGGGUGCAAGCGUUAAUCGGAAUUACUGGGCGUAAAGCGUGCGCAGGCGGUUUUGUAAGACAGGCGUGAAAUCCCCGGGCUCAACCUGGGAAUUGCGCUUGUGACUGCAAGGCUGGAGUGCGGCAGAGGGGGAUGGAAUUCCGCGUGUAGCAGUGAAAUGCGUAGAUAUGCGGAGGAACACCGAUGGCGAAGGCAAUCCCCUGGGCCUGCACUGACGCUCAUGCACGAAAGCGUGGGGAGCAAACAGGAUUAGAAACCCUUGUAGUCC